UUAGACCACCAUUCUAUCUAGUUAUAGUACAUAUUAAUGUUAUUCUUGGGUCAUUUAACUUACUCUCAGUGAAGAGUGGAGAAUGGUGCUAAGCUGUAAAUCAGCUCUGUCCUGCAAUGGAUUUGUGCCAUAAGAGAUCAUCUUGAAAAUUCCAGCCUUGCCUGACCAUGGUAAAGAGAUUAUGGCCAGCAAACAGCCAUCAUCUGGGAACAAUGAGAGCUGUCAGGACGGGGGAAGGGAGCCGGCCAAACUGCGAGCACGGGCUUGAGAGCUGAAGGAAAAAAAGAAACACUCCUCAGGAAAAUUUUGCCCUGAAAAACCCAAACUUCAUUAGCUGAAAAUGAAUGCUCAGUCUAUUGAGAUGUGCUCUGUGCCCAGAAAGCAGCACAGCAGGGAUAGGUGACCUAUUUUCCCUGGAGAGGAGGCAGAGGUUGCUCGCUAUCGAUCCCACCCUUCCUCUACCAGUUUAUAUAUUAGCUCCUAUGGCCUGUGGAGGAAGCAGACAGUAAUGGAGUGAAUCAUUCACAAUGAAUAAAUCAUCUGACUAAUUUA